ACGCUCGACACCUACGGGAGGCAGCAGUGGGGAAUAUUGCACAAUGGGGGAAACCCUGAUGCAGCGACGCCGCGUGAAGGAUGAAGUAUUUCGGUAUGUAAACUUUCUAUCAGCAGGGAAGAAAGUGACGGUACCUGACUAAGAAGCCCCGGCUAACUACGUGCCGGCAGCCGCGGUAAUCUGAGCCGGGCUGGCGAAGGC
rnacentral:rRNA from 1 species